GAUGAAGAACGUAGCGAAAUGCGAUAAGUAAUGUGAAUUGCAGAAUUCAGUGAAUCAUCGAAUCUUUGAACGCACAUUGCGCCCGCCAGUAUUCUGGCGGGCAUGCCUGUUCGAGCGUCAUUACAACCCUCAGGCCCCCGGGCCUGGCGUUGGGGAUCGGCGGAAGCCCCCUGCGGGCACAACGCCGUCCCCCAAAUACAGUGGCGGUCCCGCCGCAGCUUCCAUUGCGUAGUAGCUAACACCUCGCAACUGGAGAGCGGCGCGGCCACGCCGUAAAACACCCAACUUCUGAAUGUUGACCUCGAAUCAGGUGGGAAUACCCGCUGAACUUAAGCAUAUCAAUAAGCGGAGGA
rnacentral:misc_RNA from 1 species